CCCCUAGAUCCGCCCCUGUUUAAGACUAAUGUACUCAUUACUCUCUGUACUUAUUAAUUGGGCCAAGGACUAGUUAGCAUCAUAAAUGUACCUUACAACAGGAAAUUUAAGAGCUAGGGACUAAAUUUUUGGUGAUAUAUUGCGUGGUAGUAUCAGUUGCUAUAAGAACAAGGAUUGCUCAAGAUCACUUGAUAUCAAGAUACAGAUGACUUUAUUUCCACUCUCAAAAGAAUCCCAAGAAUUAAUAAUACCAGAACACAUUUACACACUUUCAUGAAUCAUGAUGCUUUACUGAGUGUACUUUGUUUUGUCAUUAAA